GAGCUGUGGGUUCGGCUGACUUGACAAUGGGCCGGGGGAAAUCCCAAGAUGGCUAUUAAUAUGCCCUCCUGUAAUUUGUAACAUUAACAUUGCUGAAGGUACGGAAAAGGACAUUGAAAUAAAGACGUCAGAACUGCUGACUUAGUUCGGUGAACUUGAGUGCAGAAGCCCUCUCUGGAGAAAUAGCAAGUGUGGAAAUUAAAAUGAGAUCUUGCCGUACUUUGCAUCAAGAGAAGAGAGGAAGAAAGAAAGAAAGAAAGGAAGAAAGAAAGAAAGGAAGGAAGGAAGGAAGGAAGGAAGGAAGGAAGGAAGGAUGUAGAACGAGCCCUGUUUCAAAGCCACUCCAAGAGGGGAAAGAAAUUAGGCCCUUUCAGAGAAGGGAUCUGGAGUUUGGGUUUUAUUUAACUGUACAUUCCAUUUCAGCGCUGCUGUUGCCUUGAUGUUGUGGGAUGUUGGUGGCUGUUAUUCCUCCAGCAGCUGUGUGGAAGGAACCCUGGGGCUUGAGGGGGUCCCGGAGCUCAUCACGCGCACACUGCUGUGGGAGGACCCACAGCUCUUUGGUGAACUAUUGUGAUGUCAGUUUUACUCAAACCAGUGGAGCGCUUUGCUCUCCAAGAGGCUUUGAUGAUCUUAAAUUUCUUUGAAGAGCGGACAACCUUAACCUGGAGGACGGACAGCAAACUUCCAGUGCUUUCUGCGCAUGGAGAUGAGAUUAUUAGACAGAUGCAGAUCAAAAGAAUUCCCAAGGUGUUCGGCUGUAGCACAGAGAGAGACUUUGGGAUUGGAGGUGUGAAGGCUGUGAGGAUGAUGUGAGGUGGUCUGUGAAGUGAUGGGUAAAUGCAGGAAGCCCAGCCUGGUGCUGGCAGUGACUGCAUCUACCUGGUAUGGGAGCAAAUCCAACAUUAGAGUUUUAAGUGAGCUCGAUUUGAGAGGAGGAGAGUUCAACGACCGUUUAGAUAAAGCAUUCACUAAGAAGAAAUGACUGGAAACAGAGGUGGUUUUUGCAUAAGACCAGAUGGACUCAGAUCAGGAAAGCUUGUGACUGGCUUAUACGGCUGCCAGGCUAUUUCUCUGGGGCAGAAGCUGAGAAGAGCCCUGGAGUCAUUAGAUCCUGGCAAGAAAAGAAUAAUCUCUGGAAUGGUGGCUAUUUUCUAUGACUAUACCUGGUUAGUUCUAACCAGGAAUGCUGGUUAGUUAGUCUAUUACUUUACUCUGAUAACUAGCUUUGAAAUUUUAAACUCUGCAAACUGAUUAUGACAUCACAUGCCUGGAAUCCCAGCACCUAAGAGGGAGGCUGGUACCUGAGGACCUGGGUUUAAGGUUGUCCAUAGCUACGUGACUAGUUGGAAACCAGCCUGGGCUACACAAAGCACUGUCUCAGAAUAAGGAAAAAAAGAAAACGUUCGUGAAAUUUCAAAUUCCGGUUAAUUAAGACUACAAUUAAAUUGGAAUUUUAAGAGCCAUCAACUGUCAAUAGCUGCUUGGUUAGGGGCCAGCACUUCUGGACCUCUGGCUGCGGCCUGGGACACAGAGGUGUCUUUUUUUAAUCUCAUUUUUUUUAAAGUGCGCAUUUAGAGCUACAUUUAGAGGGUCUUGCUUCAGCUACUGUCAAGGAGGCUUGUUAGGAAGUGAGUAAAUGUAAUAAAAAUGCAACUGCACUAAGUGUGUGUCAGCUAAUUUGCAUGUCUGUGGGUCCAAGUGUGGUGCUUGUAGGGAAACAGCUGUCUGCUCUCUGUUCACAUAAGUAUGAAGAUGAGGUGCUUAGAAAGGUGAAUCUCCAUCAAAAAGAGCAAACCAGCGCUGGAAGGAGUUUCAGCAUCAGCCUAUGACUGUGCCAGGCACACAGCAUUUACGUCAACACAGAAAGAGAAUCUGCUUAGUUAUAUGAGUUUCCAAAACCAGAUCUGAUGGACUAGAGAGAUGGCUCAGCCACUAAGAGAGAUGACUGCCCUAGCAGAAGACCAGAGAUAUCUCUGUUUUCAGCACCCAUGUUGGACAUCUUAGAACCAUCUCUAAAUCCGGCUCUAGGUGAUCCAAUGUCUUCUUCCCAGACUCCAAGGGCACCUGUACUCAAGUGCACAAACCCACAUUUUAAAAAAAAAUAUGUAU
rnacentral:lncRNA from 1 species